rnacentral:rRNA from 1 species
UGCAUGGUUGUCGUCAGCUCGUGUCGUGAGAUGUUGGGUUAAGUCCCGCAACGAGCGCAACCCCUAUUGUUAGUUGUCCAUCAUUCAGUUGGGCACUCUAGCGAGACUGCCGGUAAUAAACCGGAGGAAGGUGGGGAUGACGUCAAAUCAUCAUGCCCCUUAUGACCUGGGCUACACACGUGCUACAAUGGUUGGUACAACGAGUUGCGAGUCGGUGACGGCGAGCUAAUCUCUUAAAGCCAAUCUCAGUUCGGAUUGUAGGCUGCAACUCGCCUACAUGAAGUCGGAAUCGCUAGUAAUCGCGGAUCAGCACGCCGCGGUGAAUACGUUCCCGGGCCUU